AAAAUUUUAAGUUAAAAAAACUAUUAAUUUUCAAAAUUAACAUUAAUUAAAUAAAUAGUUAAAUUUUA
rnacentral:tRNA from 1 species